rnacentral:rRNA from 1 species
CCUACGGGUGGCUGCAGUCGAGAAUCAUUCACAAUGGGGGAAACCCUGAUGGUGCGACGCCGCGUGGGGGAAUGAAGGUCUUCGGAUUGUAAACCCCUGUCAUGUGGGAGCAAAUUAAAAAGAUAGUACCACAAGAGGAAGAGACGGCUAACUCUGUGCCAGCAGCCGCGGUAAUACAGAGGUCUCAAGCGUUGUUCGGAAUCACUGGGCGUAAAGCGUGCGUAGGCUGUUUCGUAAGUCGUGUGUGAAAGGCGCGGGCUCAACCCGCGGAAGGCACAUGGUACUGCGAGACUUGAGUAAAGGAGGGGGAAACGGAAAUUUCGGGGUAGGAGGGAAAAGCG